rnacentral:rRNA from 1 species
AUUGAACGCUGGCGGCAUGCCUUACACAUGCAAGUCGAACGGCAGCACGGGGCAACCUGGUGGCGAGUGGCGAACGGGUGAGUAAUGCGUAGGAAUCUGCCUCAUAGUGGGGGACAACGUGGGGAAACUCACGCUAAUACCGCAUACGCCCUACGGGGAAAGCGGGGGAUCUUCGGACCUCGCGCUAUGAGAUGAGCCUGCGUUAGAUUAGCUAGUUGGUAGGGUAAAGGCCUACCAAGGCGACGAUCUAUAGCUGGUCUGAGAGGACGAUCAGCCACACUGGGACUGAGACACGGCCCAGACUCCUACGGGAGGCAGCAGUGGGGAAUAUUGGACAAUGGGCGCAAGCCUGAUCCAGCAAUAACCGCGUGUGUGAAGAAGGCCUUAGGUUGUAAAGCACUUUCAAUU